rnacentral:sRNA from 1 species
GAUGAAGCGGGGAGGUGAAUAUGAAGAGGUCAACCACACGUCAGUUUUAUCAGCGCUAUUUUUACGCUACAUGCCAUGUUUCCUGGCUGGCCCGCCAGAUGGCAGGGAUGCGGUUCAAAAUGCUUGAAGAACUGAUGCAGUGGGAGGUUACGCGCUCGACCUCUGAACACUAAAUCGCCAAAUCAUGUGUGACUGAGUAUUUGCCAGCAGGUAUUAUCUGCUGGCUUUUUU